GACGAACGCUGGCGGCGUGCCUAAUACAUGCAAGUAGAACGCUGAAGGAGGAGCUUGCUCUUCUGGAUGAGUUGCGAACGGGUGAGUAACGCGUAGGUAACCUGCCUGGUAGCGGGGGAUAACUAUUGGAAACGAUAGCUAAUACCGCAUAAGAGUAGAUGUUGCAUGACAUUUACUUAAAAGGUGCAAUUGCAUCACUACCAGAUGGACCUGCGUUGUAUUAGCUAGUUGGUGGGGUAACGGCUUACCAAGGCGACGAUACAUAGCCGACCUGAGAGGGUGAUCGGCCACACUGGGACUGAGACACGGCCCAGACUCCUACGGGAGGCAGCAGUAGGGAAUCUUCGGCAAUGGACGGAAGUCUGACCGAGCAACGCCGCGUGAGUGAAGAAGGUUUUCGGAUCGUAAAGCUCUGUUGUAAGAGAAGAACGAGUGUGAGAGUGGAAAGUUCACACUGUGACGGUAGCUUAACAGAAAGGGACGGCUAACUACGUG
rnacentral:rRNA from 1 species